rnacentral:rRNA from 1 species
UGGCGGACGGGUGAGUAACGCGUAAGAACCUGCCCUUGGGAGGGGGGACAACAGCUGGAAACGGUUGCUAAUACCCCAUAGGCUGAGGAGCGAAAGGAGGAAUCCGCCUAAGGAGGGGCUUGCGUCUGAUUAGCUAGUUGGUGAGGCAAUGGCUUACCAAGGCGACGAUCAGUAGCUGGUCUGAGAGGACGAUCAGACACACUGGAACUGAGACACGGUCCAG